GCAAAUGGAGACAGAAGGCCCGCGUGUUCCCCUCCUGCCGUUGCGUCCUGCUCCCACGUGGUGGCACUGUUGAAGACAGCCCAACAGAGUACGAAAGAUGCCACUGCAGAGUUGACAGUAACGAUUGCCAUGGUUCCUUGAGGAGGGAUAACCCCAGCCUAAAGAGACCCCAUCCUUUUGUCCUAGCGUUUUCAGUUCUUAGCACUUGUUCGUUCAGCAAAUUUCCUAGGAAUGCAACUUCCUGGAAGACACAGAGCCACUUCUCAAGGAACAAGCCAGCACCGUUUGCACUGUGGUCCUGUGUGCAGGACAAAAACACCGUCUGCCGUCAUGAAGGUGUGGC
rnacentral:lncRNA from 1 species